AAUAAAGACAAACUGGAAGUCCAUUUCUCUCUCUCUGGAAGAAGAACGGAGGAGGACGCAUGGAGUCUACGUGCGCUCUCACCAAGAUUACUUUUAUGACAAAUACUUGUUGAAAUCCCCGUUUAUUCAACCGUUGGAUGGGGAUUAAUGGUUCCAGACAUGCAUACGGGCUUAUUUGUUGCACUCAAGGUUGUCUUUCAGGGAUCGAUGGUGCUGGAUGCAUUACUGUGGUACCGAGGUUGUCUUUCAGGGAUCGAUGGUGCUGGAUGCAUUACUGUGGUACCGAGACUUGAUGGACUGGCAGGGUGCUGAAGAUGCUGUAGGAGGAUCAUCUAGUCUUUUGAUUUGAUUGGCUCGCAUGUGGACUGGAGACUCUGAAGUAAAUCUUGCCCCGUGAUUGAUGGCCCAGUAUGUGGAGUAUGAAGAUCUAUAUCUCCACCCUAUGGUUUGUGGGACCUGCAGUAAUGAGUGUCUUAUGGUGAGUUCCUUCCUGGUUUGAGGUGUCCACUUUGAACUGUUCAGCCAUUUUACUGGAAUUGUGUUCCCUUUUCUGACACGCUUCUGCUGAUAUACCCUCCUGAAAAGCCAUUAAUCUGAAUUACCAGCACUAUAAAAACUAUUGUAGAACGUUAAGUAGUUGCCAGCAAGUCUCUUUUUAAUUUAACUUUUUAUUUAUCUAGGCAUUAGUCUUAAUAAUUACAGUUGAUUAUCAAUUAAGAAAAUGCUAUGUGUUGUCUAAAUAAAGUAAAAAAAAAUUGCCCUGAUUUUUAUUCUGCCCUGUUCAUUAUGACAUGUUAUUAAACUUUUAUAGUACA